rnacentral:misc_RNA from 1 species
GGAGUCUGCAAAGAUUGUACCACGGUAAGCUAUAGGGCAUAUACUAGGGAACAUAUUAAAACACAUAUUUUUAUGUUUGAUUGCUUUCUAAAUAAAUCAUGCUUUUGAUGGUUAAUUAUUAAGGCAGUAGCAUGUGUCAGUUUAGAGGAAAGAGGGCUCAAUUAGUGACAAUUUUGGAAUUUUUCAGUGUUUCCGUCACUCAGAUUUGAA